rnacentral:rRNA from 1 species
UACGAAGGGGGCUAGCGUUGCUCGGAAUUAUUGGGCGUAAAGGGCGCGUAGGCGGCGAUUCAAGUGACGGGUGAAAUCCCUCGGCUUAACCGAGGAGCUGCCUGUCAGACUGGAUUGCUUGAGGCCGGGAGAGGCGAGUGGAAUUCCCAGUGUAGCGGUGAAAUGCGUAGAUAUUGGGAGGAACACCAGUGGCGAAGGCGGCUCGCUGGACCGGUUCUGACGCUGAGGCGCGAAAGCGUGGGGAGCAAACAGG